rnacentral:rRNA from 1 species
CAAGUCGAGCGGAGACAGUGAGUAGCUUGCUAUGAGCUGUUUUAGCGGCGGACGGGUGAGUAACGCGUGAGCAACCUUUCCCAGACAGGGGAAUAACACACCGAAAGGUGUACUAAUACCGCAUAAGACCACGGUUUCACAUGGAACUGAGGUAAAAGAUUUAUCGGUUUGGGGUGGGCUCGCGUCCGAUUAGGUAGUUGGUGAGGUAACGGCCCACCAAGCCGACGAUCGGUAGCCGACCUGAGAGGGUGAUCGGCCACAUUGGGACUGAGACACGGCCCAAACUCCUACGGGAGGCAGCAGUGGGGAAUAUUGGGCAAUGGGGGGAACCCUGACCCAGCAACGCCGCGUGGAGGAAGAAGGUUUUCGGAUCGUAAACUCCUGUCCUUGGAGACGAGUAGAAGACGGUAUCCAAGGAGGAAGCCCCGGCUAACUACGUGCCAGCAGCCGCGGUAAUACGUAGGGGGCAAGCGUUGUCCGGAAUAAUUGGGCGUAAAGGGCGCGUAGGCGGCUCGGUAAGUCUGGAGUGAAAGUCCUGCUUUUAAGGUGGGAAUUGCUUUGGAUACUGUCGGGCUUGAGUGCAGGAGAGGUUAGUGGAAUUCCCAGUGUAGCGGUGAAAUGCGUAGAGAUUG